rnacentral:lncRNA from 1 species
AACAGAUGCUUCGCUAUUAAAAUAUUUCCCCCCAAUACUGAAGAAUCUUAAACCAGGCACUGAAGUGGAUGACCCAAGUUAGGAUGACAACUUGCAGAGAACGCGGAUGAGACCUUCAGUUUGUGCCCACACUCAUUUGCAGCAACCCUAACAGAGAUUGCGAAGAUUUUCAAAGUGGGGCACCUCGAUUUCUCGAAUCUGUGGUGUGGCGAAUAUCCGUGUUCCUCCUGCUUAACUAGCCUGUUUGAAGGCACAGUUCAUUCUCGAGCAAUUCGUCACCUCCUGGGGGUCUUCUCUUCCCGUCUACAGGAGAGUGUGACUUCAGAAAGAACUUCGGAUUGGCCAAGGCAGGUCUGAUUCUAUUUAUUCUAAAGACAGAGUUGGAGAUGGGCUACCAUUGGUGUUGAUUGAGAUGACAAGCAGUCACCUGAGCCCAUACAGCUGGGUUCACAGAUGUGGCUAGUCUUGCUAGCCAGCUCGCACUGUGGACAUUCUAGGGAACUGACUGCAGUCCUCAUGCUUGGAGUCAAACACUUUAACCACUGCACACGUUUAUGUAAUAGGAUUGACAUAUGAGAAUCAGAGAAAUGAAUGAAAGAUUAGAGUGGGAGAAAGUGCUUGCUGCCAAGCUUGAUGACCUAAAUUGAAUACCUGGAACCUACACGACAGAAAGAGAGAGCUGACUGCUGAAAGAUGUCCUCAGAUCUUCACAUGUGCACAGUGGCACCUAUCCAACCAUGCACAUAGUAUAUUAAAAAUUAUUUUUUAAAAAA